AGUGAACGCUGGCGGUAGGCCUAACACAUGCAAGUCGAACGGCAGCACAGUAAGAGCUUGCUCUUACGGGUGGCGCGUGGCGGACGGGUGAGGAAUACAUCGGAAUCUACUUUUUCGUGGGGGAUAACGUAGGGAAACUUACGCUAAUACCGCAUACGACCUACGGGUGAAAGCAGGGGAUCUUCGGACCUUGCGCGAUUGAAUGAGCCGAUGUCGGAUUAGCUAGUUGGCGGGGUAAAGGCCCACCAAGGCGACGAUCCGUAGCUGGUCUGAGAGGAUGAUCAGCCACACUGGAACUGAGACACGGUCCAGACUCCUACGGGAGGCAGCAGUGGGGAAUAUUGGACAAUGGGCGCAAGCCUGAUCCAGCCAUGCCGCGUGGGUGAAGAAGGCCUUCGGGUUGUAAAGCCCUUUUGUUGGGAAAGAAAAGCAGCAGGUUAAUACCCCGCUGUUCUGACGUUACCCAAAGAAUAAGCACCGGCUAACUUCGUG
rnacentral:rRNA from 1 species